rfam:Rattus norvegicus chromosome 6, whole genome shotgun sequence.
GGGGAUUUAGCUCAGUGGUAGAGUGCUUGCCUAGCAAGCACAAGGUCCUGGGUUCGGUCCCCAGCUCUG